rnacentral:lncRNA from 1 species
GAUGCGCGCGCGCGCCCCGGCGGGACCCGGGCGCUGGGGGCCAGUUCGCGCGGCCACCAGCCAGGGAGGCCGGCUUGGGGCUUUGCUCUUCUCUGCUCCUCUUGUGUGGGCGCAGGGAAGGGCUGGUCUGGCGGCGCUGGCGAAAUGCCAGAAUUGGGAGGAGGAGGGAUGAGGUGUAAGGGGAUCUCCCAGUGACCAUUUGCAUCCCGUGUGUGCUGUUGUGCCCCAAUCCCUUCCAGCCGCAAUUCCAUUUCAAAGCCAACGCUGCCAGAGCCACCCAAAUCGGUAGGACUGGAGAAAUGCAGACCCAGCGAUCCACGGUGCUCGCCGAAGCAGCGGCCCGCGGCUUCGUGGCAUGGAGAUGAUCUACGAUUUCUCUGUUUAAGGAAGACUGUAGCACUCUGGGUCCCUCUGAGCACCAGGAUAGUCCUGGUACAUGGUAGGAAGUCACCCUUAAAGAAGGUGGUUUGAUAGAGACACCCCACCACCGGCAGACUUCGUGCUUCCGUUUCCUUCUAAUAAUUGGGACUGGGACAAUCUCUUCCGACUAGUAGAACCUGGAAUAGGGACUAAUAGACUGGAAUCGGAGCACCUGUGUUAAAUCACACCCAUCAAGGCGCAGUCAGGUGAUCUAAGGCCUGCGUGACCUCUCUGUGCUUCAGGGAUCGCAUUUGGAUGCAUGUGCAAGCUGUGCUGUAGCCACCUCAGGUCCUGAAUCUUUAGGACUUGCUGGAGCUCAUUGCUGAUCUAUUUUGGCAGCCUCCUUUAGAACUCAUUAUCUUUUAGAGUAAUACCACCCUUAACCAGUAGUUUAACUCCCCACUCCCUCAAAGGGGACUCAUUUG